rnacentral:lncRNA from 1 species
GGUUUGAAUCCCCCUUUUUUAAAUGGCUGGAUCCGCCCCUGCCAGCAAUGAUAACACAAAAGAAAUUGUCAUAUAGGAUGUUACAUAAUGAGACUCUAGACAAAUGUGAUUUGAAGUAACCAAGACGUCCAGAAUUUAAAUUUUACCUGUUUAAAUCUAUAAUCAAUGUUUUGACACCGUCCCCAAAUUUAAAGACUAAUUUGUCAACCUCAGCG